rnacentral:rRNA from 1 species
AGUGAACGCUGGCGGUAGGCCUAACACAUGCAAGUCGAACGGCAGCACAGUAAGAGCUUGCUCUUACGGGUGGCGAGUGGCGGACGGGUGAGGAAUACAUCGGAAUCUACUUUUUCGUGGGGGAUAACGUAGGGAAACUUACGCUAAUACCGCAUACGACCUACGGGUGAAAGCAGGGGAUCUUCGGACCUUGCGCGAUUGAAUGAGCCGAUGUCGGAUUAGCUAGUUGGCGGGGUAAAGGCCCACCAAGGCGACGAUCUGUAGCUGGUCUGAGAGGAUGAUCAGCCACACUGGAACUGAGACACGGUCCAGACUCCUACGGGAGGCAGCAGUGGGGAAUAUUGGACAAUGGGCGCAAGCCUGAUCCAGCCAUACCGCGUGGGUGAAGAAGGCCUUCGGGUUGUAAAGCCCUUUUGUUGGGAAAGAAAAGCAGCAGGCUAAUACCCCGCUGUUCUGACGGUACCCAAAGAAUAAGCACCGGCUAACUUCGUG